CAAUAGCGUAUAUUAAAGUUGUUGCGGUAAAAAAGCUCGUAGUUGGAUUUCUGUUGAGAGUGACCGGUCCAUACCAUGUAUGCGUAUCUGGCUUGCUCUCGGCAUCCUCUCGAUAGACGUUACUGCGCUUGAUUGCGUGGUGCGGAUCUCGGGACUUUUACUUUGAGGAAAUUAGAGUGUUCACGGCAGGCUUUCGCCAGAAUACAUUAGCAUGGAAUAAUACUAUAGGAUCUUGGUUCUAUUUUGUUGGUUUCUAGAAUUGAGAUAAUGAUUAAUAGGGACAAUUGGGGGCAUUCGUAUCAACACGUCAGAGGUGGAAUUCUUGGAUUGUGUUGCGACGAACUACUGCGAAAGCAUUUGCCAAGGAUGUUUUCAUUGA
rnacentral:rRNA from 1 species